AGCAAGGAGUCGAAAAGCGGUAACCGAGAUGGCAUCUUUCAAAAGAAUGGAGUCCCUCUUUGACAGGAAUGACAGUUCAUCGAAUUUAUGACCCGAGAAGUUGUAUCCUGCUGUUUCCCACGAUGGCCUAGUAGAGGUUCCGGACAGAAGCUUAGUGAAGUAAGUAUCCCACCACAAGAAUACCUCAGGUAGGGCCCAAGGAACAGGGUUUAGUGGGAGUCCGGUUGAAACAGAGUGUGGAAUGUGGGAACACACCCAACACCUAGACUCAUUUACAGCUCAGUUCUAAAAAUGUUAAUACCAUGUAGGCCUUUCUCAUGCAGAUUUUCCACAGAUCUCUUACGGCCUGUAACAGAGGUUUCAAUUAGGUUACCUCUCUCUUUCUCAGUAGUAAUACAAUAAGCAACACAAUCACCAAUGCUAAUUCAAAAAAGAAACACAAAGUUCCUCUCAUUCCACACAGUCCUGCCCUUCAGAAAGGGUGCUAGGGUGUCCUUGAAUCACUCAUGUUGCUGUUGUGCUUCCGUGGGAUCAGCUAUUUUACAGCAGUAGGUGAUGUGAGUCCACAAGUCAAUGCCUUCUAUUUUCACAGCGUGGGGUGUGGACAGAAGAACCUGAUGAGGGCCUCUCCACCAGGGCUGCUUCCAGUGUUUCUUUCACAGGUCACGGAUGAGAACCCAAUCGCCUGGGAGCAGCUCUAGCAUGUCUUCCCGGUUAAGGGUUCACUAGUUCUGUCGCACGUGCUGAUGCACCUCCUUCAGUGUUCGUUGGAGACCUGAAAGAUACGAGAGUAGAUCAUCAUCCACAGUUUCCAAUGAAACUCUUCCACUUGGCAUGGGGGCCGGCGUUGGUCUUCCUGUCAGAACCUAAAAACAGGACAGACCCAAUUGUCUGUGUGUUUUACCCCUCAUAGCCGUUAGAACUAUGGGUAGCACGUCCAGCCACCUGUUUCUUCGCGGACUUUUGCAAGUUUGACUUUCAGUCUGAUUCGCCCUUUCAACCACACCACCACUCUGGGGGAUGAUAUGAACAAUAAUACUUUAGGUGGCAUCCCAUUCAUUCGGAGAGCUGAUGCACAACUGAGUUUACGAAAUGUGCCCGGUUGUCACUUGUGAGCCAAGCUGGGACACCCCACCUAGGCAGUAUUUCUUUUAGCAGGCACUUUGCUACAGUGCGUGCUGCGGCCCUCACCUUGAGAAGAGAUCAACAAUAACUAGGCAGUAUCUGAAACUGCGCGACGGUUUGAGUUCAAUAAAAUCCAUUUUUAGAUGGUUUAAAGGA